ACUAAAUAGAUACCCAGGUAGUCCAUGCCGUAAACUAUGGAUACUAGCUGUUGGGGGGUAUCGACCCCUCCAGUAGCGAAAGCUAAACGCGUUAAGUAUCCCGCCUGUGGAGUACGAUCGCAAGAUUAAAACAUAAAGGAAUUGACGGGGACCCGCACAAGCGGUGGAGCGUGUUCUUUAAAUUCGAUGCUAAACGAAGAACCUUACCAGGGCUUGACAUCCCUUGAAUUACUCCGAAAGGAGUGAGUGCUUUAUUGAGCAAGGUGACAGGUGAUGCAUGGCCGUCGUCAGCUCGUGUCGUGAGAUGUUUGGUUAAGUCCAUCAACGAGCGCAACCCUUAUACUUAGUUGUAUUUUUCUAGGUAGACUGCCCCGGUAACGGGGAGGAAGGGGGGGGUAUGAUGUCAGGUCAGUAUUUCCCUUACGUCCUGGGGCUAGAAACGCGCUACAAUGGCCGGUACAAUGCGGAGCUAAAUCGCGAGAUGGAGCAAAUCGCAUCAAAGCCGGUCCCAAUUCGGAUUGUAGGCUGAAACUCGCCUGCAUGAAGUCGGAAUC
rnacentral:rRNA from 1 species